rnacentral:rRNA from 1 species
GGGGGUACACGAGUGGCGAACGGGUGAGUAACACGUGGGUAAUCUGCCCUGCACUUCGGGAUAAGCCUGGGAAACUGGGUCUAAUACCGGAUAUGAACUCCUGCCGCAUGGUGGGGGUUGGAAAGUUUUUCGGUGCAGGAUGAGCCCGCGGCCUAUCAGCUUGUUGGUGGGGUAAUGGCCUACCAAGGCGACGACGGGUAGCCGGCCUGAGAGGGUGAUCGGCCACACUGGGACUGAGACACGGCCCAGACUCCUACGGGAGGCAGCAGUGGGGAAUAUUGCACAAUGGGCGAAAGCCUGAUGCAGCGACGCCGCGUGGGGGAUGACGGUCUUCGGAUUGUAAACCCCUUUCAGUAGGGACGAAGCGCAAGUGACGGUACCUGCAGAAGAAGCACCGGCUAACUACGUGCCAGCAGCCGCGGUAAUACGUAGGGUGCGAGCGUUGUCCGGAAUUACUGGGCGUAAAGAGCUCGUAGGCGGUUUGUCACGUCGUCUGUGAAAUCCCUCGGCUUAACCGGGGGCGUGCAGGCGAUACGGGCAGACUUGAGUACUACAGGGGAGACUGGAAUUCCUGGUGUAGCGGUGAAAUGCGCAGAUAUCAGGAGGAACACCGGUGGCGAAGGCGGGUCUCUGGGUAGUAACUGACGCUGAGGAGCGAAAGCAUGGGUAGCGAACAGGAUUAGAUACCCUGGUAGUCCAUGCCGUAAACGGUGGGCGCUAGGUGUGGGGU